rnacentral:lncRNA from 1 species
UUGUCAUGCGAUUUAGGUUGGUCUUGAGCUCACUUUGAAGCUCAGGUUUGAACUCAGAACAAUCCUCCCACCUCAGCCUCACAAGUGCUGGCAGGUGCGGCCCACCUCACCUGGCUCAGAUCCUGCUUUUAAAGGGGAGGAACAGCAGCUGUGACUGGCUGGCCCUGAGGAGUGGAGCCUCUCCUGUAAGUCUGAUGGCCCCAGCCAAUCACCCGCUCCGGCAGGACGUCCAAAUCUGAACAACUCGCUGGCCACUGCAGUCUGCUG